ACUCUAACCAUUAACAACCGAGCCCCAAAAUAGACUGUGUCUAACCAUUCCUGAUCUUUCUCGAAUCCUAAUCGACUUCACAUACAUUUCUAUCAAGAAAUUUGAACUUUAUUUGUAUUUCCCAGACCAAGAUUUCUCUUUGUAUUUCCCAGACCAAGAUUUCUCUUUUUUCAUCCUUAUACUCUUCCAAAUCAAAUUCCCCAACCUAGCUUAUCAAAUUCAACUUCAACACAUUCUGGAACAAAUUUACAUGCUCUGGAUAUUCGUUCCUGCAUUCAUAUGAAGAUCACCCAGUGGGAUGGCGCGGCAAAAUAAUUUAGCCAUAACAAGGAUGAGCUAGAAUGGAGUUGAGCAAACACCUCUGGACAUUAUAGUUUCAUCAACAUAUGUCAAACAAUAUGUAGGUAAUAAAUAAAGUUCGGAUGAGUCGCGGAGCGAAAAGAGCAG